rnacentral:lncRNA from 1 species
AUACGAUCAACUAGAAAUCAGUAACAGAAAGAAAAAAAGGAAACUCUAAACAUUUAGAAAUUAAAUAAUCCAUGAAUCAAAGAAAAGUCUCAAAGGAAACUAAAAAAAAAACAUAGAACUGAAUGGAAAAUUUUUAAAGUAUAUUAAAAUAUAUGAGACAUUUCUAACUGGGUCCUUUUGCACAAGCCCAUUCAUCAAUUUGUAACCACUGUAAUAUUUUGUAAGAUUUUUUUUUUAUUUUAAGAUUUCCAGGCUGGGCGUAGUGACUCACGCCUGUAAUCCCAGCACUUUGGGAGGCCAAGGCGGGCAGAUCACGAGGUCAAGAGAUUGAUCGAGACCAUCCUGGCUAACACGGUGAAACCCCCGUCUCUAUUAAAAAUACAAAAAUUAGCCAGGCAUAGUGGUACAGGCCUGUAGUCCCAGCUACUUGGGAGGCUGAGGCAGAAGAAUCGCUUGAACCCGGAAGGCAGAGGUUGCAGUGAGCCGAGAUU